UUUCGCACCGAAACUAUGGCAACAAAUCCACUUGGUUUGGAUACUUCACUUCAUUUAGAAAUUGCCAAAUCGGCGCCCCAUACCAAAAUUUCCAGCCAUUUUUCAAGUGCUUUAUUGCAUCAUCAGGAGCCGAACAUAUAGAUUACAAUGAUGUGUUUGGACUUUGGACCACUGCAGCACGUACGGUGAUUGUCGAAGUAGUGUACAUUCGUGUUGUUGAGUUGUUGCUGCACAUGCUCUUUCCUCUAGCUACUCUCCUCCCUUAGCAAGAACACAUACGUCUGACAUAAAUCCUUUAAUCUAACUAUCUCAGCUUUUGAUAUGGCUACGCUAUCAACAAAAUUAGAAACACGUCAAUUUCUUUGUGCUCAGCUGGUUGUUAACCAUGCGGCCCCACCUCUCAGUGACUGCCCGGUCCAUAGCAGAGCGAGGCCAAAGCGUGCACGUCAGUCCCCCACAGUGAGUCCUCCGAGUCAGCUACCCACCCCACCCCCAACUCGAUUCGUGACGAGAUCUCUCUCCUCCAAAUUCCUCGCUCGAUUCGUCGCGGUCGAAAAAAACCCACAGCCCCCUCCCCACCGCCGACCCCCUCGCCUCCUGUCGGAAUCGGAAUCCAUCCCGAUGGCGCAAGGCACCGCGCCCUCCGCAGCUGGGGCCGCCGGCGGCGGCGGCGGCUGCCCCUCGGCGCCCGCCGUCUCCACGACCCCUCCGGGCACGCCCCGGGCCUCCGCGGCAGCAGCCGCGCCGCAGCCUCCGCCGCCCUCCUCCUUCGCGACCGGAUUCUACUACGCCGUCGAGCUCUACUUCGACCCGGCGCUGGAGAACCAGGUGCUCAAGGCGUGGAACGCGCUGGCGCGGCGGCAGCUCGGCAGCCGCCUCAUCGACGCCGCCGCCCGCCCGCACCUCCCGCUGCUCCACCUCCCCGCCGCCGCGCUCCCGCCGCCUGGCACCGGCGCCGCGGGCGGGGACCCGCUCCUCCGCCUCGCGCCCUCGCUCCGCGCGCUCGCGUCGCGACUCGACCCGCUCCCGCUCGCGCUCUCCUCGCUCGCCGCGCUCCCGGCCUCCGCAUCCUCGUCCUCGCACGACAACGUCCUCUUCCUCGCGCCCACUCCGUCCGCUGCCCUGCUCGGACUCCAUGCGCAGCUCUGCGAGCUGCUACGGAAGGACGCUGGCGUCGAGGUCCCCGACGCCUUCCGGCCCGACCACUGGCUACCGCGGUGCGCCGUCGCCGUUGACGUGCCCCGUGGCCGCAUGGCCGAGGCCUUCUGCGUGCUCCGAGAGCUCAAGCUGCUACCCGUCUCUGGGUACGGGAUGGACAUCGCGCUCGUCGAGGUCGGGGCCACCGUUAGGGAGCUCGUGUCCUACCCGCUUGGUGGCAGCGGCAGCGCUGGAGCCGACUGAGAGGGAAAUUGAGCUGGUCACUGCUCUCUGAAACCGUGAUCGACAUUCUGCCAGGACACUUCCAAGCAAUAUUCUAUCAUGCAGUUCUAUCGAAGUGAUCCUCCGGGUUAAUCUAAUGGAUGGCUAUCUUUCAGGUCCUGUUGUAUUUUGUACCAUAUCUAGAUCAUGGAUGGACAAUCAUACUUAACAAGGACAUCAUAGUCGCACAAUUUGCCUUCUUCCGAGGAGCUACAUUUGGAAGAAGGCUGGACCAUGCUGUAUCCUAACACAUACAGUAUUUUGUUUAGUCAUUUCUUUAAUCUUUUGGUUGAUAUUGUAUUUGAUGUCCUCCCCCUCCAUUGUAGACUCUUCACAUAGUAUCACUUGUCCUCGAGUUUACUGUAAUGAGAAUUAUCAGUUGUGUUCUUGUGCCCUGAAAACCAGUUGUGCUGUCUUCAUUCGCUCAACUGAUUUGUUCACAUGACUCA